rnacentral:rRNA from 1 species
CCAUGCAAGUCGAGCGGUAACAGGGGUAGCUUGCUACCCGCUGACGAGCGGCGGACGGGUGAGUAAUGCAUAGGAAUCUGCCCGAUAGUGGGGGAUAACCUGGGGAAACCCAGGCUAAUACCGCAUACGUCCUACGGGAGAAAGGGGGCUCCGGCUCCCGCUAUUGGAUGAGCCUAUGUCGGAUUAGCUAGUUGGUGAGGUAAAGGCUCACCAAGGCGACGAUCCGUAGCUGGUCUGAGAGGAUGAUCAGCCACAUCGGGACUGAGACACGGCCCGAACUCCUACGGGAGGCAGCAGUGGGGAAUAUUGGACAAUGGGCGAAAGCCUGAUCCAGCCAUGCCGCGUGUGUGAAGAAGGCCCUCGGGUUGUAAAGCACUUUCAGCGAGGAAGAACGCCUAGUGGUUAAUACCCAUUAGGAAAGACAUCACUCGCAGAAGAAGCACCGGCUAACUCCGUGCCAGCAGCCGCGGUAAUACGGAGGGUGCAAGCGUUAAUCGGAAUUACUGGGCGUAAAGCGCGCGUAGGUGGCUUGAUAAGCCGGUUGUGAAAGCCCCGGGCUCAACCUGGGAACGGCAUCCGGAACUGUCAAGCUAGAGUGCAGGAGAGGAAGGUAGAAUUCCCGGUGUAGCGGUGAAAUGCGUAGAGAUCGGGAGGAAUACCAGUGGCGAAGGCGGCCUUCUGGACUGACACUGACACUGAGGUGCGAAAGCGUGGGUAGCAAACAGGAUUAGAUACCCUGGUAGUCCACGCCGUAAACGAUGUCGACCAGCCGUUGGGUGCCUAGCGCACUUUGUGGCGAAGUUAACGCGAUAAGUCGACCGCCUGGGGAGUACGGCCGCAAGGUUAAAACUCAAAUGAAUUGACGGGCGCCCGCACAAGCGGUGGAGCAUGUGGUUUAAUUCGAUGCACGCGAGAUCUUACCUACUCUGACAUCCU